GCAUAGGAUAGGCCCCAUAUUUACAGUAUGCUUCAUUAUAUUCUAUCUCACCGCAGAGAUUGUUGUUGUUGUAGCCCAUUUGAAAAGGUUGGGUAUGCGCAUUGACACGUUUCGAUUAGAGGGGACGCAGAUGGUGGAGGAGACCUACGGGCAUUCUGUUACGAGUUUGCAGUAACAAUAGGACGUAUAUUUAUGGCAGCUGGAGUCCGUAGCCUACACGCGCUUGCAUACAACAUACAGACAUCUGCAUACUAGUAAUUCCUCAUGCCAUCCAAGCACUCCUUUGUCCAGUCUUUUUAUUUACUCUCUUUUAACCGCCCAUCAGAGGCAGCUGCUCGCCAUUUACCAGACCUCUGCUCAAGCAACGUGACGCGCUCCAUAGCACGUCCUCAUUUUAGAGGAGAUCGACGCAUGGAGGAUCGGACAGCUCGAGGGCUUCAUCGCACCCUUACUGACUGAAACAGAUGCUGCGAGACUGGUGCAUUGUGGACCGGCGGUCAAAUUUACAUAAUUGCAAAAGUGGCCAAACUCACAGCCCAGCUGGCAGGAUGCAAGUCCCCAUGAGGACUGGGGUGCCCUGGUGUCCCUGACGGCCUGGUGACAGGAGUAGGGAGAGACAGAUGGGUAUGUGUCCAGUAUAUCCUCAUACUGUGGAGGGGGUUCUUGUUUAACAGAGGUUUAACAGCCGUUAUUGAUGGUAAUUCUGUUUUGUGUGCUCCAUUCCUUGAUAUUUUUUUAUUGACUUGUUGGUAUUAGUGGGGGCUGCCGUAACAAGUUAUUCAUUUAAAUUAGGUUAGUUCAAGGUAAAACAUGUCAAAUAAGUUAGAUAAAAAGGUUAUUCAGGUCCAUUAGAUACUGUUCCUCAAUGCCUAUGAUUCUUGGUGAUUUUGCAGAUUAAUUUAGUAACUCAGGCCUACUGCAGUUCAUAGUAUCUAUUGGCAGUGGUCAAGGCCAAUGGUCCAGUACGUCCUUGGUAGGGUUUUGGGGACAGGUGUUCCAGGGGGUUGCGUUCCACUUUCUGCUGCUCUCUGCUCUGUGUUUAUCUCCAGAUAUAUCCUGAGGAAGAUGCUGGGAAGGUGCCAGCCCUCAGAGCCUAUUUAGAUGAGUCCACAACAUGUCCUGACUGACAAGGCUGUCAACAAAGCUGUUUUUAAACAGUUGUCAACGUGGUUCAUCCUUACCGAACUGGGACGGGAACUGGGACCUAUGGCUUUCACCCACUGAGAAAGGGGCACAACAUUGGCAUUCACCCACUGCUGAUGGGGCACAGCCACACUUCUUUAGUUAUCAAUAUGUGUUAGAAGUGUAUCACCUUGCUGUGAUUAUUUGGAUAUUUUACUUUGCCUACUUAAAAUGGGAUUAUCAUUGGCACAUUGCUGGUUCCCCUUUAACCUUUUACUGCAAUGAGCAAAAUCAGUGUUUCUUCGUUGUCUUAACCUCUCUGGGAGAUGUGUAGCGUCCCACCUCGCCAACAGCCAGUGACAGUGCAGGGCGCCAAAUUCAAAACAACAAAUCUCAAUUAUAAUUCCUCAAGCAUACAAGUAUUUUACACCAUUUUAAAGAUAACAUUCUCGUUAAUCCAGCCACAGUGUCGGAUUUAAAAAAUGCUUUACAGCGAAAGUACCACAAACGAUUAUGUUAGGUCCCACCAACUCACAGAAAAACACAGCCAUUUUUCCAGACAAAGAGAGUAGUCACAAAAAGCACAAGAUAAAAUUAAUCACUAACCGUUGAGCUUCAUCAGAUGACACUCAUAGGACUUCAUGUUACACAAUACAUGUAUGUUUUGUUCGAUAAUGUGCAUAUUUAUAUAAAAAAAAUCUCAUUUUACAUUGGUGCGUUACGUUCAGUAGUAAAACAUGCGGUGAUUGUGCAGAGAGCCACAUCUAUUUACAGAAAUACUCAUUAUAAAUGUUGAUGAAAAUACAAGUGUUAUACAUGGAAUUUGAGAUACUUCUCCUUAAUGCAACCACUGUCAGAUUUUUUUUGUUUUUAAACGUUAAGGAAAAAGCAAACCAUGCAAUAAUCUGAGUACAGCGUUCAGACAACAAAGCAGCAAAAAUAUAUCCUCCAUAUUGUGUCGUCAACAUUAGUCAGAAAUAGCAUUAUAAAUAUUCACUUACCUUUGAUCUUCAUCAGAAUGCCACCCAGGAAUCCCAGUCCCACGAUAAAUGUUUGAUUUGUUCGAUAAUGUCCAUUUAUGUCCAAAUAGCUUCUUUUGUUAGCGCGUUUGGUAAACAAAUCCAAACGCGCGUUCAGGUCCAACCGAAUGGUGGACAAAAAGUUAUAUUACAUCCCGUAGAAACUUGUCAAACUAAGUAUAGAAUCAAUCUUUAGGAUGUUUUUAUCAUAAAUGUUCCAACCGGAGAACUCCUAUGUCUGUAGAAAAGCAAUAAAACGAGAGCUAACUCUCUCGUGACCGUGCCUCGGAGCCUGUGGCACUCUGGCAGACAACUGUCUCAAUCAGCUCUCAUUCACCCCCACUUCACAGUAGAAGCCUGAAACGACGUUCUAAGGACUGUUGACAUCUAGUGGAAGCCUUAGGAAGUGUAAUAUGACUCCAUUUACACUGUAUAUUGGAAUGGCAGAGUUGAAAAACUACAAACCUCAGAUUUCCCACUUCCUGGUUGGAUUUUUCUCAGGUUUUCGCCUGCCAUAUGAGUUCUGUUAUACUCACAGACAUCAUUCAAACAGUUUUAGAAACUUCAGUGUUUUCUAUCCAAUACUACUAAUAAUAUGCAUAUAUUAGCAUCUGGGCCAGAGUAGCAGGCAGUUUACUCUGGGCACCUUAUUCAUCCAAGCUACUCAAUACUGCCCCCCCUGUCACCAAGAAGUUAAACAAAUCUACUAUGAAACAAGAGUAUACACCUCACACACAUGGUUAUGGGCUUUAAAAAAUACCUGUACCAUAUUAGAAAUACAUUUGAAUUGUAUUCAAUUUUGAGUUUGCAUCCCAAUAUUACAGUUUAUAUACAUCAAAGAAGACAAACAUUACAACAUCAUAGAAACACAGAAUUGUCGGCGGGUUUUUGAAAUAAUGUUUAUUAAUGAUAAAAGAUAUGAAUAACAUUCCACCCAUGAGUCCAUUUAGAUGGAGAUUUGGUCAUUUGACUGCAGGAAAGGGCUACUUGUCAUCUUAUGCCACAUUGCUCAGGACUUUAUUGGAUAGGACCACAUUUCAUGCCAUAAGAGACUCAUAAGGGGUGGGGUUGUAGUGUUGUGUGUCUGACACUUUGGUGCUUCGCAUUUCCUUCCCUGAAAUACUGUUUAACUGAGGGAUGCUUUCUCUCCCCUCCUUUGUAAAAUAACUCUUAACACGUUCUGAUCCCCUUCCACACUGUUCAGCUGAUCAAAGCACUGACACUGCAGUUGACUAACACCUCUCUCUGAUGCCUGCUUCUCCUCAUGCUGUCAGCACUGUCCUUUCUCUUCUCUGUAACCUUGGCAACACUAACGCCUUACUCACCUCCGAUCUCUGACGUCUAACAUGACUAACAAGAUUGAGUCUGCUGGGAUGGCCUUGCUGUUAAUUUCAAUGAUGUGCUCCUAACCAAGCUAGCAGGGAGCAUACCCAUGACAAGCUUGUGCGGAUGGUUUGGUAACAUUAGUCUACCCUAACGUUACAGGAGUGCUGAGGAUGUUAGUUGUCAGUGUGUGUAGCUAUCUCUCAAUCUUACCACCCUAGUUUUUAGAUGGUUUCCCGAGGCCUGGUUUGUCUUGUGAUUGCUGCAUGUACUGGUAACUCUGAGUAACCUUAGCUGGAGUCGUAAAGAACUAACCAACACUGGGGUAAUCCUGGUUUACUAACCUGGACUAACAGUCUAACAUUCACUAAUCAACCAAACUGAAACCCAAGCACUGGAGAAGUGCCUUGUCUGACUGGUUAAAACCAUCCUUAACCUAAUGGUCUGUUAAAACCACUGUGUGUGUGUGUGGGUGUACAUUGUGUGUUUAAGAGUGGGGCUGUUACUGUCAUUAAUAUUCUUACACUCUGAAACCAAACCCCCAACUGCCAACAGCUCUCUUGUCAUUCCUUAAUAAAUACACUAACAAUAACACUCUAAUACCUAACAGUACUAAUGUCUGCUAACAGGCCUAUUGUUACUAAUACUCAACUCUACUAUGGAUGAUGUUGGCUGGACUUGUAAUUUCUAACACACUCACUAACCCUUUGCUUUGUGCCCUGAGUCUGAGACAGUCCUCUCACAUUUUCCUGAAUCCCUUCUCCGCCAGACACAGAUCACCCAAAAUCAUAUACAAGAACUAUGUAUUUAUCAAUCUGUUAUAACCUUAAGUGUGAUAUGUUUCUUGAGACAUGUUACUUUUGGCACCCUAAAGCACAAUGGUGAGUGAUUCCAGGAUCUGGGAUGGAAAGCUGGAUCAACCAAUAGAUUUUAAAGAAAAAGUGGGUCGACUACACACUUCUGCUCAGGGUGACGAUUGAUUAAAAAAAAAAUAUAUAUAUAUAUAUUACAAAUCAUACAGUAACUAUGCUAAAGAAUUGUAUUUCAUUAAAGCUGAAGUAUUCCAUCUUAAAUUGCUGACAAAUGUUUGUCCCUCUGUCCAUUGUGUGGCCAACCUCAAAGGUGUUGCAGCUCAGUGCUUGGUUUGCUGUCUGCAUAGACACUGAUGUGUAUUAUCUGAUAAGAUAAACCAAAGGAAAUAGCAACCCUUCCCUGCUUUACUACUAACUGACUGGUAUACUAACCACCCCAUAUGAGGCCUAACAAUGUGGCCAUUGAUUCAUUGCUCUUACUAACAUACUGCAUCUUCCCACAUAAAACAAUGCUACAUUUUACUAUAGUACACUCUGUAGUAUCCCUGGAUCAUGUGUAGAAAUUACUAUAUCAUUUCGGUAUACAAUAACCGAAAAGACACUGGUUCGAAUCCCUGAGUCGACAAGGUAAAACACUUAAUCCUAAUUGCUCCUGUAAGUCGCUCUGGAUAAAGUGUCUGCUAAAUGUCUAAAAUGUAGAAUAGUAUACUGCACACUGUAGUAUCCCUUGAUCGUGUAGUGCUUACUAUAUACUUUUGUAGUAUACUGUGGAAUACUAUACUACACACUGUAGUAUAGUAUUCAUCUCUUGACUGUAUAGUGCUUACUAUUGGAUUGUGUCGUAUACUGGUGAAUACUACACUCCACAUUGUAAUAUCCCUCUAUCGUGUACUGCUAACUAUAUACUGUAGAAUACUAUACUACACACCGUAGUAUCCCCGAUCAUGUGUAGUGCUUACUAUAUAUUUGUAUUGUAUACUAGAUUAAAUAAUACAGCAUUAUCUGCAAAAAACACUAAAUACUACAGCAAUGUCCAAAAACAGUUUUUUUUAAAACUAUAGUUAUACUAGAUUAUUUUAAUUUGCAUAUGCUUCACAUUCCCAUCCCCCAUACAGUGGUGUAAAACAAAACAAAAAUAGUUGAAAGUACUAGUUAAAUAGUUUGAGGUAUCUGUACUUUAUUUUACUACUUAUAUUUUUGACAACUUUUAUAUUCCUAAAGAAAAUAAUGUACUUUUUAAUCUUUACAUUUUCCCUGACACCCAAAAGUACUUGUUACAUUUUGAAUGCUUAGCAGGACAGGAGAAUAGUCUAUUUCAAACUUAUCAAGAGAACAUCCCUACUGUCUCUGAUCUAAUGGACUCACUAAACAUAUGCUUCAUUAGUAAAUUAUGUCUGAGGGUUGUAGUGUGCCCCUGGCGAUCUGUAAAUUAAAAAAACAAGAAUUGUGCCGUU